ACGCUCGACACCUACGGGAGGCAGCAGUGAGGGAUAUUGGUCAAUGGGGGAAACCCUGAACCAGCAACGCCGCGUGAGGGAUGACGGUCUUCGGAUUGUAAACCUCUGUCCUCUGUGAAGAUAAUGACGGUAGCAGAGGAGGAAGCUCCGGCUAACUACGUGCCUGCAGCCGCGGUAAUCUGAGCGGGCGUGGCAAGGC
rnacentral:rRNA from 1 species